AUUGAACGCUGGCGGCAGGCCUAACACAUGCAAGUCGAGCGGGGUUUUCGGACCUAGCGGCGGUCGGGUGAGUAAUGCGUAGGAAGCUGCCCGAUAGAGGGGGAUACCAGUUGGAAACGACUGUUAAUACCGCAUAAUGUCUCCGGACCAAAGUGUGGGACAUUCGGGCCACAUGCUACCGGAUGCGCCUACGUGGGAUUAGCUAGUUGGUGAGGUAAUGGCUUACCAAGGCGACGAUCUCUAGCUGGUUUGAGAGGAUGAUUAGCCACACUGGAACUGAGACACGGGCCAGACUCCGACGGGACGCAUCAGUGGGGAAUAUUGGACAAUGGGCGCAAGCCUGAUCCAGCCAUGCCGCGUGUGUGAAGAAGGCCUUCGGGUUGUAAAGCACUUUCAGCGAGGAGGAAGGGUGGGGUGUUAAUAGCACAUCAUUUUGACGUUACUCGCAGAAGAAGCACCGGCUAACUCUGUGCCAGCCGCCGCGGUAAUAC
rnacentral:rRNA from 1 species